rnacentral:tRNA from 1 species
AAGAUGUUAGUAAAAUUUGUAAAUUACAUCACUUUGUCAAAGUGAAAUUGUGGGUUAAACUCCCGCAUGUCUUA